rnacentral:rRNA from 1 species
GACGAACGCUGGCGGCGUGCUUAACACAUGCAAGUCGAACGGAAAGGCCCUGCUUUUGUGGGGUGCUCGAGUGGCGAACGGGUGAGUAACACGUGAGUAACCUGCCCUUGACUUUGGGAUAACUUCCGAAAACUGGGGCUAAUACCGGAUAGGAGCUCCUGCUGCAUGGUGGGGGUUGGAAAGUUUCGGCGGUUGGGGAUGGACUCGCGGCUUAUCAGCUUGUUGGUGGGGUAGUGGCUUACCAAGGCUUUGACGGGUAGCCGGCCUGAGAGGGUGACCGGCGACAUUGGGACUGAGAUACGGCCCAGACUCCUACGGGAGGCAGCAGUGGGGAAUAUUGCACAAUGGGCGGAAGCCUGAUGCAGCAACGCCGCGUGCGGGAUGACGGCCUUCGGGUUGUAAACCGCUUUCGCCUGUGACGAAGCGUGAGUGACGGUAAUGGGUAAAGAAGCACCGGCUAACUACGUG